rnacentral:lncRNA from 1 species
AACAAAGAAAUGUUUAAAGAAUCUUCCCUGGACAUAAGCCAUGCUGAAUUGGUGACUCAGAGUUGGACAUUUGGUGGGACGGAGAGGAGCCUGAAAUUCAUCCACCGUUGUAUCUAGAACUUUUCUAACACUUGUCUGCUGGGCCCAAGAGAGGAGGCCUGUGUCCUGGGUCUUGAUGGACCAAAGAGGAGAAUCAAGAAUGGCAGGUAUUGUACCCAAGUACUGGGGGAAGGGACUAACGAACUAUGUCUUUUAUACACACACUCAUAAUAUAGAAAAUUUCAACGUGCCCCUGUACCUCCAUGUGGAAAAAACUAAUCAAAUCAUGGUAAAGACUGUGUUGCGCAUGAACUAUGUGCACAUACUCCCCACCUGGAACCAACGGAACUGUGAGCCAACA